UACGUAGGGUGCGAGCGCUAAUCGGAAUUACUGGGCGUAAAGCGUGCGUAGGUGGUUCUUUAAGUCAGAUGUGAAAUCCCUGGGCUCAACCUAGGAACUGCAUUUGAUACUGAAGAGCUAGAGUGUGGUAGAGGAUAGUGGAAUUCCCGGUGUAGCGGUGAAAUGCGUAGAUAUCGGGAGGAACAUCAGUGGCGAAGGCGGCUAUCUGGACCAACACUGACACUGAGGCACGAAAGCGUGGGUAGCAAACAGG
rnacentral:rRNA from 1 species